AGAGUUUGAUCCUGGCUUAGGAUGAACGCUAGCUACAGGCUUAACACAUGCAAGUCGAGGGGCAGCAUUGGGGUAGCAAUACUCAGAUGGCGACCGGCGCACGGGUGAGUAACACGUAUCCAACCUGCCGCUUACUCGGGGAUAGCCUUUCGAAAGAAAGAUUAAUACCCGAUGGUAUAAAGAGUUCGCAUGUUCUCUUUAUUAAAGAAUUUCGGUAAGCGAUGGGGAUGCGUUCCAUUAGAUAGUUGGCGGGGUAACGGCCCACCAAGUCUACGAUGGAUAGGGGUUCUGAGAGGAAGGUCCCCCACAUUGGAACUGAGACACGGUCCAAACUCCUACGGGAGGCAGCAGUGAGGAAUAUUGGUCAAUGGACGAGAGUCUGAACCAGCCAAAGUAGCGUGAAGGAUGACUGCCCUAUGGGUUGUAAACUUCUUUUAUAAGGGAAUAAAGUGAGGGACGUGUCCCUUUUUGUAUGUACCUUAUGAAUAAGGAUCGGCUAACUCCGUGCCAGCCGCGGC
rnacentral:rRNA from 1 species